rnacentral:rRNA from 1 species
UACGUAGGGGGCAAGCGUUGUCCGGAUUUAUUGGGCGUAAAGAGCUCGUAGGCGGUUCCGUAAGUCAGGUGUGAAAAAUCUGGGCUCAACCCAGUGGAGCACCUGAUACUGCGGUGACUCGAGUCCGGUAGGGGAGUGUGGAAUUCCUGGUGUGAGCGGUGAAAUGACGCAGAUAUCAGGAGGAACACCGAUGGCGAAGGCAGGUCUCUGGGCUGACACUGACGCUCAUGCACGAAAGCGUGGGGAGCAAACAGG